rnacentral:rRNA from 1 species
ACUCCUACGGGAGGCAGCAGUGGGGAAUAUUGCACAAUGGGCGCAAGCCUGAUGCAGCCAUGCCGCGUGUGUGAAGAAGGCCUUCGGGUUGUAAAGCACUUUCAGUCGUGAGGAAGGUAGUGUAGUUAAUAGCUGCAUUAUUUGUACGUUAGCGACAGAAGAAGCACCGGCUAACUCCGUGCCAGCAGCCGCGGUAAUACGGAGGGUGCGAGCGUUAAUCGGAAUUACUGGGCGUAAAGCGCAUGCAGGUGGUUUGUUAAGUCAGAUGUGAAAGCCCGGGGCUCAACCUCGGAAUAGCAUUUGAAACUGGCAGACUAGAGUACUGUAGAGGGGGUAGAAGUUUCAGGUGUAGCGGUGAAAUGCGUAGAGAUCGUGAAGGAAUACCGGUGGCGAAGGCGGCCCCUGGACAGAUACUGACACUCAGAUGCGAAAGCGUGGGAGCAAACAGGAUUAGAUACCCCUGGUAGACUGUCA